ACGGAGGGUGCAAGCGUUGUUCGGAUUCACUGGGCAUAAAGGGUGCGUAGGCGGCUUUGUAAGUCAGAGGUGAAAGCUGUCGGCUCAACUGACAAAUUGCCUUUGAGACUGCAUCGCUUGAAUCCAGGAGAGGAAAGUGGAAUUCCGAGUGUAGAGGUGAAAUUCGUAGAUAUUCGGAAGAACACCAGUGGCGAAGGCGGCUCACUGGACUGGAAUUGACGCUGAGGUGCGAAAGCGUGGGGAGCAAACAG
rnacentral:rRNA from 1 species